rnacentral:rRNA from 1 species
AGUAGUUUGAUCAGUGGCUCAGGACGAACGCUGGCGGCGUGCUUCAUACAUGCAAGUCGAACGAGAAAUACACUUCGGUGUAUGGAAAGUGGCGGACGGGUGAGUAAUGUGUAGAGAAUCUGCCCUGAAGAGGGGGACAACAGAGGGAAACUUCUGCUAAUACCCCAUAUGCGCGUAGUUGAGAUACUAUUCGUGAAAGAUUUAUCGCUUCAGGAUGAGUCUGCAUCUGAUUAGCUAGUUGGGGGUGUAAUGGACCACCAAGGCGACGAUCAGUAGCUGGUUUGAGAGGAUGAUCAGCCACAAUGGGACUGAGACACGGCCCAGACUCC